rnacentral:rRNA from 1 species
AUUGAACGCUGGCGGCAGGCCUAACACAUGCAAGUCGAAUGGUAACAGGAAACAGCCUGCUGUUUCGCUGACGAGUGGCGGACGGGUGAGUAAUGUCUGGGAAACUGCCUGAUGGAGGGGGAUAACUACUGGAAACGGUAGCUAAUACCGCAUAACGUCGCAAGACCAAAGAGGGGGACCUUCGGGCCUCUUGCCAUCAGAUGUGCCCAGAUGGGAUUAGCUAGUAGGUGGGGUAACGGCUCACCUAGGCGACGAUCCCUAGCUGGUCUGAGAGGAUGACCAGCCACACUGGAACUGAGACACGGUCCAGACUCCUACGGGAGGCAGCAGUGGGGAAUAUUGCACAAUGGGCGCAAGCCUGAUGCAGCCAUGCCGCGUGUAUGAAGAAGGCCUUCGGGUUGUAAAGUACUUUCAGCGGGGAGGAAGGGAGUAAAGUUAAUACCUUUGCUCAUUGACGUUACCCGCAGAAGAAGCACCGGCUAACUCCGUGCCAGCAGCCGCGGUAAUACGGAGGGUGCAAGCGUUAAUCGGAAUUACUGGGCGUAAAGCGCACGCAGGCGGUUUGUUAAGUCAGAUGUGAAAUCCCCGGGCUCAACCUGGGAACUGCAUCUGAUACUGGCAAGCUUGAGUCUCGUAGAGGGGGGUAGAAUUCCAGGUGUAGCGGUGAAAUGCGUAGAGAUCUGGAGGAAUACCGGUGGCGAAGGCG